ACACACACACACAGUGUUUUCCAAACAUUUUUUUUGGAAAUGUUCAACUCUCACCCCCUAAAUGUGUUAGGAUAUCAAUAAAAACACACUGUGCAACAUGUUAAUUGUUCCUUGUUAGAGAGGUUAGAGGAAUAUCUAGAGGAAUAUCUAGAGGUAGCUCAAG